GCUGUUUGUGUAGAUGCUGUUUGUCUCUGUAGGACAGUAGUUCAGGUGGCUGUUUGUCUUUGUAGGACAGUAGUUCAGGUGGCUGUUUGUCUUUGUAGGACAGUAGUUCAGGUGGCUGUUUGUGUAGAUGCUGUUUGUCUUUGUAGGACAGUAGUUCAGGUGGCUGUUUGUGUAGAUGCUGUUUGUCUUUGUAGGACAGUAGUUCAGGUGGUUGUUUGUGUAGAUGCUGUUUGUCUUUGUAGGACAGUAGUUCAGGUGGCUGUUUGUGUAGAUGCUGUUUGUCUUUGUAGGACAGUAGUUCAGGUGGCUGUUUGUCUUUGUAGGACAGUAGUUCAGGUGGCUGUUUGUCUUUGUAGGACAGUAGUUCAGGUGGCUGUUUGUCUUUGUAGGACAGUAGUUCAGGUGGCUGUUUGUCUUUGUAGGACAGUAGUUCAGGUGGCUGUUUGUCUUUGUAGGACAGUAGUUCAGGUGGCUGUGUGUCUUCGUAGGACAGUAGUUCAGGUGGCUGUUUGUGUAGAUGCUGUUUGUCUUUGUAGGACAGUAGUUCAGGUGGCUGCCCUUGCACUUAGUCUGCCUCCUGCCCCCCCAUCGUCAUGGUUACACCUUCCUGAAUACAAUGACUCCCAUACUUUGCUGAAACCUGUUCUGCCAG
ensembl:lncRNA